AGUGGAUGGGGAGCAACCUAGUUGUGUGUGUGUAAAGGUAGUGCCAAGAAAAGCGGUGAUCAUGAUGAAAAUCAGUUCCCGGUACCCGAAACCGACACAGGUGGGCAAGUAGAGAAUACUAAGGGGCGCGAGGUAACUCUCUCCAAGGAACUCGGCAAAAUGACCCCGUAACUUAGGGAGAAGGGGUGCCACCGAGAGGUGGUCGCAGUGAAGAGGCCCAGGCGACUGUUUAGCAAAAACAUAGGUCUCUGCAAACUCGAAAGAGGAGGUAUAGGGGCUGACGCCUGCCCAGUGCCGGAAGGUUAAAGAAGUUGGUCAGUCUUAGGAUGAAGCUAGCGACUGAAGCCCCGGUGAACGGCGGCCGUAACUAUAACGGUCCUAAGGUAGCGAAAUUCCUUGUCGGGUAAGUUCCGACCCGCACGAAAGGCGUAACGAUCUGGGCGCUGUCUCGGAGAGAGGCUCGGCGAAAUAGGAUUGUCUGUGAAGAUACGGACUACCUGCAUUUGGACAGAAAGACCCUAUGAAGCUUUACUAUAGCUUGGAAUUGUGUUCGGGCUUCCUGUGCGCAGGAUAGGUGGGAGGCGUAGAAGGUAUUCUUGUGGGGAUACUGGAGCCAACGGUGAGAUACCACUCUCAGGAGGCUAGAAUUCUAACUUAAUUAAGGACAGUUUCAGGUGGGUAGUUUGACUGGGGCGGUCGCCUCCAAAAAGGUAACGGAGGCGUACAAAGGUUCCCUCAGACUGGUUGAAAUCAGUCGCAGAGUGCAAAGGCAGAAGGGAGCUUGACUGCGAGAAGUACAGUUCGAGCAGGGUGGAAACACGGUCUUAGUGAUCCGACGGUGCUGUGUGGAAGGGCCGUCGCUCAACGGAUAAAAGUUACUCUAAGGAUAACAGGCUGAUCUCCCCCAAGAGUUCACAUCGACGGGGAGGUUUGGCACCUCGAUGUCGGCUCAUCGCAACCUGGGGCGGAAGUACGUCCCAAGGGUUGGGCUGUUCGCCCAUUAAAGCGGUACGUGAGCUGGGUUCAGAACGUCGUGAGACAGUUCGGUCCAUAUCCGAUGUAGGCGUGAGAAUAUUGAGAGGAGCCUUCCUUAGUACGAGAGGACCGGGAAGGACGCACCGCUGGUGUACCUGUUAUGAUGCCAAUUGUAAACGCAGGGUAGCCAAGUGCGGAGAGGAUAACCGCUGAAAGCAUCUAAGUGGGAAGCCCACCUCAAGAUGAGUAUUCUGGUGUAAGGUCACGGGAAGACGACCCGUAAAUAGGCACGAGGUGGAAGUGCAGAGAUGUAUGAAGCCGAAGUGUACUAAUAGACUGUCGGCUUGACC
rnacentral:rRNA from 1 species